GGGAGCGCCGCGGCUGGCAGGAAAGGUUGGGAACUCAGAGGGUAUGGCCGCUGCGCGGUUCUUCCGCGCCACGGAGCCCGUCUGGGGCCCGAGGUUGGGAGCAAAAGCAGAUGGACAGUUUGUAGAGACUUGAGCUAAGCUCAGGGUGAGAAGGGAGAGCGGAUGUGGGGCCCACAAGCAGCAGCACCACUAUCCAGACCCCAGUCCCCGCACUCUGCGUGGGGAGGCACGGCCGGGAGAGGCGAAAGGAAGCUGAGGCUCUUCGGGCGGACGGGGCUGGAAGGGGUUUGUUCGCGGCUUGUAGGAGCCGCACUGUUGGGAGUAGAAGCCAGGCCUCCCCACUGUUAGCUUCUGCCUCCCUCCGGCGUCUCUCCACAGCAGCCGGCCCGGCAGGCGCUUCCCGACGCCGACGGCUCCGCCGACGUGCACGUCCCCGGGUGAAAGAUUGCACUUUCCAGGCUGGAUGACAGGCCUGCAAGGACUGAGCCGACCUUCGAGUAACAUGAUGGGGAUGCUCAGUGAGGCGACGACAGCCUGCAGCUGGGAGCUCCCCUUUAGUGCAGGUGGUGCUCAGUGGGAGCUUCUACUUUAGGUUAAAAUAAACAGAUCUCUUUUUAAAGUGAGGGGUUCCAAAUUGUCACUUCUGCUUUGUUUUUAGCAGAUCAAUAAGGCCGAAAACUUGGUUCACUUAAUCUAGGGUGGUAGAAAUGGGCAAAAAUACGACGCUGGAUUCUACUCCCUACUUGCCGUCAGGCACCCAUGCAUUGGAACAGAGGCUCCCCAGGGGCCACACACAUGUCCAGUAGUCGCCUUGUUUCAAGUUAACUGAGAAAAUUCAAGCCGUUAUGCAACACACACCUUAAGGUCCUGUGUCCCCGUGUCCGUCCCUGCCUCGCGUACCUUCCUCUUACUCAUUGGCCUGGGCUGCUGAUCAGUGGUUCUCUUUCUAGGCCUCUCUCAGCUGUAUUCCUACCACUGAUCAGUGCCUCCUUGAAACCUAACUCCCUUUGCUUUGCUCCUUUUUCUUCUCGCUACUUCAUACUUCUUAGCUGGCUCUUUCCUCUCUUUAAAUAGUGUAAGUUCCAGCAUCAUCAUCAUCGUUACUGUUAUUUUGUCUGUUUUCUCCUUGAGCGUAUCAUCCACUCACUGUUUUAAUCUGUUUGUUCACGAAGCCUAAAACUACUGUUGUUCCGGACUUCUCCCUUGAGAUUCAGGCUUUCACUUCUAUUGGUUGACAAGUUCCUUGGGGCCUUCCUAGAUGUAUUCUGAAACCAGGCCCAUAGUUGGAUGGCAGGGCAAGGCAAAAGAAAGAGGUAGGCCAUGCUGGAUUGGUAGGUAGCGGGUUGAAUAAGCAAAGGAACUUAUAUACAAGACUUGUCUUGGGUGGCUGCAAGAGGAGAAGAUCUCUUGACUUGCCUGCCAAAUCUUGAAAGUUUUAUAUCCUUUCAGUCACGUAUACAGUCCAGAUGGGUCUUAACAGUACAUCACUAUCUCAAGGCUGUGUCCUUGGAGCAGCCUCUGGGUGCAGAGAAGGCAAGCUGGACACCCAUUCCAAGAACGGGGGGGUGGAGUGAGGAGCCUCCAGUUGCCAGUGUCCAGCUCACAGGUCAGCCAGUGGUCAUGUCCUCUUGGUGACUCCAAUAAUUUCCUUGGCUUCUAGAUAGAUCCACUUGGGAGGGUGCAUGAACCACUCCAACUUUAACUUAUCCUUUUCAUUUCCAUUAUCUUGGUGCUGUGUCUAGCUUUACCACCCCUGCCCACACCCCCAAAUUCAUCUUGUAAGUAGGAACCAUAAUGAUCAGUCCCAAAUGUAAAUCUAAACGUUUCACUUGUCUGCUUAUAUUUCUUCCAUUCAUCUUUCUUGUCACCUCCAAGGUAAAGUCUUAACUUCAUAGCCUGCCACGCUAAGAACUUCAUGAUCUUGUCACUGUUGAUGUUUCCAACCUGACCUCCCACCACACCCACUUCCGGGUCAUGAGGCUAUUUUAUACUUUGAGACCUUAUUUUUGUUGACUGUCUGGGCUAUCCUGAUUUUCUUUGCCUGACUUUUAGUUAUCCUUACUUAUUUUUUUGGAGGGCCUUUCAAGAAGUUUUUACCCAAUCUGCAGUCUGAAUUAGUUGACUUUCCUCCUGGCUUUUACUGGCAAUCAUCUUUUCAUUCAAAAAACUUUAUUAAGCCCCUAAUUUUGUGCCAGAUGCUGAGCUACAUACUAGAAACAUAAUAGUGAACAGAUUGAUAGAAACCCAUCCAACAGUGGACCUGACAGUCUCAUAGGGAAGGGAAGCAGGUAAUAAAAAUAUGUUUUAAAAGAAUGCAGUUAAGCCAGAUUGGCUCCAUGCUUGAGAAUAUCUGGGAAUUGGCCAGCUUUAACAGAUGGGGGCGGGGGGGGGGGGGAGAGAACGGAGGUGAGACAGGUGCUGCAGAUAGAGGUAAUAAGUCAUUUGAAGGCCCUUUCAGGAGAGGAGAGCACAGUCUAGGAACGCAGAUUCCAGGCAAAGGGCUGAGGAGGUAAAUAGAGACCAGAUCAUGAAUAUUCUAGUCAUGUUAAGGAGUUCUUACUAACGACGAUAGAAAGCUUGAAGGAUUUUGACAUGACUAGAUUUAUAUUUUAGGUGAUGAUUCUGGCUAGUCUGAGAAAAAUGGAAUUCAAGACUGGCAGGGAAACAAGUUCAAGAGGGAGAGAAACCAGUUGGGACAUCAUUAUAGUAAUCCAGAGAAAUGAAGACCGCAGCCUGUACAAGGGUAUUGCCAGUGUGAAGGAAACAGAUCCCAAAGGAAUUUAAGAAAAAGUGGUGGGGACACCUGGGUGGCUUAGUCGUUAAGCAUCUGCCUUCAGCUCAGGUCAUGAUCCCAGGGACCUGGGGUUGAGUCCAGCUAUCAUAUAUUCAUAGCUAAGUAUAGGUCCUUAAGGGUAGAUGCUUGAUAAAUGUUGUUCUGUGAGAGUUUUCUGACUCAAGCACUCAGACAAAUGGUCAUUCUGAUUUAUAGAGGGAAACUCAUUUGGUAGUGAGUGGUGGUUGAGUUUUAGGCAUGUCAAACUCAAGGCGCGCCUGUGGGAGAUACACAUGAAAAUGUCCAGAUCCAUGGCAUUUGGAAGAGAUCAGUGGAUUCUUUGUAUACAUAGAAAUAAAUAAAUAAACAAACAAAUAAAUAAAUAAAAGUUUCUGUUAUACUGAAAUAAUCUGUUUCAUGUCUGUCUCAACGACUAUCCAGGGCUGUUCUUAAUGACUUGAUUCCCAAGCACCUAACACCACGUCUGGCACAAACGGAGCACCCAGUUAAUGUUUGUUGUUGAAAGGAGCUACUUUUUAAAAAUGGUUCAUCUAAAA